UGAUCCUGUCUGAGUGAUCCACAGACUUCAUU
rnacentral:piRNA from 1 species